CCUGCGGGGGACAGCAGUGAGGAAUAUUGGUCAAUGGGCGCAAGCCUGAACCAGCCAAGUCGCGUGAGGGAUGACGGUCCUAUGGAUUGUAAACCUCUUUUGUCGGGGAGCAAGGCCCGCCAUGUGUGGCGGGCAGGAGAGUACCCGAAGAAAAAGCAUCGGCGAACUCCGUGCCAGCAGCCGCGGUAAUACGGAGGAUGCGAGCGUUAUCCGGAUUUAUUGGGUUUAAGGGGAGCGUAGGUGGAUUGUUAAGUCAGUUGUGAAAGUUUGCGGCUCAACCGUAAAAGUGCAGUUGAAACUGGCAGUCUUGAGUGCAGUAGAGGUGGGCGGAAUUCGUGGUGUAGCGGUGAAAUGCUUAGAUAUCACGAAGAACUCCGAUUGCGAAGGCAGUUCACUGGACUGCAACUGACACUGAGGCUCGAAAGUGUGGGUAUCAAACAGGAUUAGAUACCCGUGUAGUC
rnacentral:rRNA from 1 species